rnacentral:tRNA from 1 species
GUGGGUAUAGCUCAGGGGUAGAGUGCAUGCUUAGCAUUCACGAGGUCCUGGGUUCAAUCCCCAGUACCUCUG